rnacentral:rRNA from 1 species
ACGAACGCUGGCGGCGUGCUUCACACAUGCAAGUCGAACGGAAAGGCCCUGCUUUUGUGGGGUGCUCGAGUGGCGAACGGGUGAGUAACACGUGAGUAACCUGCCCUUGACUUUGGGAUAACUUCAGGAAACUGGGGCUAAUACCGGAUAGGAGCUCCUGCUGCAUGGUGGGGGUUGGAAAGUUUCGGCGGUUGGGGAUGGACUCGCGGCUUAUCAGCUUGUUGGUGGGGUAGUGGCUUACCAAGGCUUUGACGGGUAGCCGGCCUGAGAGGGUGACCGGCCACAUUGGGACUGAGAUACGGCCCAGACUCCUACGGGAGGCAGCAGUGGGGAAUAUUGCACAAUGGGCGGAAGCCUGAUGCAGCAACGCCGCGUGCGGGAUGACGGCCUUCGGGUUGUAAACCGCUUUCGCCUGUGACUAAGCGUGAGUGACGGUAAUGGGUAAAGAAGCACCGGCUAACUACGUG